UUCCCCCGCCCCGCCGUCGCUCUUCUUUCUGAAGCUCCGCCCCUAUCUUCGCGAGCGGCCGCCGCGCUGCGUCAACACGCAUGCGCCUUUGCCCCCUUCUGGCCCCUCUGCACCUCCCACUUGCAAAGUGCACCACGUUGUUGGGGCCGGGUGGGCGGGACUACCGCCUGAGACUCAGGGGAAAGUGGGCCGAACUGGGCGACACCCAGUUGCGGGGUGACUCGAAUCGCGGGACACGCCUCUCGCCCGGCCUCAAGCCAGAUUUGACUCCCUUCGCGGAUUGAAGGUGAUCAAAGAACCCAGCAUUCCUCAAAUCACAGUUGAAACUGCCGCACCUCUCACUGGCCUCUUGUGGUCAGACUGUGUCUCCUUCCUGGCGUCCCCCCCACCCCCACGUCCAGGCACAGCAGCCUGGCACACACCAGGAAUAGUAAACUCUGAAUAUAUGUGUCAAAUGAAAAUUGGAUGAAACCCUGAUCCAGCCGAACUACACCAUUGGACAAAGAGACCCAGAGAAGUUUCUUGACUUCCCAAAAUAAAACUGUAGAAGAAUAA